rnacentral:rRNA from 1 species
CCUACGGGAGGCAGCAGUGGGGAAUUUUGCGCAUGGGGGAAACCCUGACGCAGCAACGCCGCGUGAUUGAAGAAGGUCUUCGGAUUGUAAAGAUCUUUAAUCAGGGACGAAAAAUGACGGUACCUGAAAAAUAAGCUCCGGCUAACUACGGGCCAGCAGCCGCGGUAAU